rnacentral:tRNA from 1 species
AACGGUCUAGUUUAGCUUGGUAGAACAGCGGAAUCAUAAUCCGAAAGUCGUGAGUUCAAAUCUCACUACCGUUA